rnacentral:lncRNA from 1 species
AGAAAAGGACUUCCUCUUGAGAGUUCACAGCCAGCAGCUCUGAGAAGCACAGUCACUCAUGAUUUAUAGCUUGAAUCCACUUUUGGGUGAGGCUACAAUCUCCUGAGUUGAAAAUCAGCUUCCAGUGCACUCGAUUGGCUCCUCCUCCAGUACAUGGAGGAUAAAAAGGCAAUUUCUCUGUGAAGAGAUGCAAUUCACUUUAGCCCACUAAAGCUUAAAUUCAGCCAAAUGGGAAUUUGUGAGGAACCUGGAGUUAGAGGUUUUUUAAUGUUCUGUGUGUGAGACAGUGGUUUGGGGCUUGGAUUACUGCAACGUGAGAAGACAGGAAAGGAUUCCCAACUCCUUUGCGCUCACUCUAUGAUCAUUGUAAACAGAGAGCACUUUUCUAAAAGGUGUUCAGAGGUUUCUAGAAGUUAAGACACUGGCUCUAUAACAAAUUAGAAAUUCACCUAAGAGAACAAACUCUCCCAAGCAAAUUAGGAGCUAUGACUUUCAAACUAACAAAUCCCUUGGGCCCAGCUGUCAGGGAGAGAAUGUUAACGAGAUAAAAUUAUGAAUCCUGUUGACCACUAAUUAGUAAAAUUCCCGAGGGCACCUUCUCUAUUUUUUUCUUGAAAAUGCAUCUUUUUUUCUCACAUGAUAUAUCUUGAUUAUGAUUUCCCCCAACUGUAUUCCUACCAGUUCCUCUCCAUCUCCUCUCCUAUUCAGCUCCAUCCCCCUUCUGUCUCUCAUUGGAACAUAAAGAUGCUUCUAAGGGAAAAUAAUAAAAUAGAGUAUGACAAAACAAAAUAUAAGAUAAGGAAAAAACUAACCCAACAGCAUUAGACAAAACAAGCAAAGAGAAGGAAUGAGCUC